rnacentral:lncRNA from 10 species
AAGGAUGACCCCAAAGGCAUCAUCACUUGCUGAUCCUGGACCCAAACCUCAUGUCACCUCACUCAGUGAGCGCUGCCCCACACCAGGGAGUGCCUGGGAGCUCCUGGAGCUGGAGGAGCAGGAAACCUGGGAGAGCGCUGAUCCGAAGCCCUGACCUUGCCUGGUCACUCCCAGUCUCCCCGAACCCACAGCACAAGGGAGAGCCAGGCCUGGGCCUGUGGGGGAUCACAGAAGGCCAAGCAGACCCGGUACUGACCGAGGCUUGGGGAGGGAGGAUUUGUGUGUCAUUCAAGCCUCAGGCAGGGCUGUCUCUCCAGGCAAAGCAGCGCUCCCAAGGCGAGCAGCCCAGACUGGGGGUGGUGGAUGGGAGGUGGU